UCAUCGACUGAUGGAUUGGGCCAACUGGAACACCAUCAUUCGUCAUUGGUUGAAGGAUUUGGCCAACUGGGACGCUGUGGUUGGUCAUCGGUUGAUGGGUUUGGCCAACGGAACAUUGGGCGAUGGAUUUGGCCAACUGGAACACCGUGGUUGGUCAUUGGUUGAUGGGUUUGGCCAACUGAAGAUUGUCCAAAAGGGUUUGGCCAACUGGGACACUGUGGUUGGUCAUGGACUGAUGGGUUUGGCCAACAGAAGAUUGUCCAAAAGGGUUCAGCCUACUGGGACACUGUUGAUGGUCAUUGGUUGAUGGGUUUGGCCAACUGGAACGCCGUGGUUGGCCAUCAGUUGAUGGAUUUGGCCAAUGGAACAUUGGGCGCUGGGUUUGGCCAACUGGAACACCGUCAUUCGUCAUUGGUUGAUGGGUUUGGCCAACUGGGAUGCUGUGGUUGGCCAUCGACUGAUGGGUUUGGUCAACAGAAGAUUGUCCAAAAGGGUUUGGCCAACUGGAACGCCGUUGAUCGUCAUUGGCUGAUGGGUUUGGCCAACUGGAACACCUUGGUUGGCC
rnacentral:lncRNA from 1 species